CAAAAUUGGAAAAAAUUCAACAUUGUUUUGGAUUUUCAAAAUGAUUACACAAAAUUAAAAUAGAAAACCAUUUUUUUUUACAUAAAGAAAGUUUAUUUUGACUUAAAACUCAACAAUUUACUAGGUGGGGAAGAACAGGGGACAUUGCUUUAAAUCCAAGGCUAGACAAAAUUUUUCAUUAUCUCUAUGCCUACUUUACAUAUUUUUGUGAUAUUAGUCAUAAUAAUUAGAAAAAAUAAGCAUACUAGAGAAACUCGAAUUGUAGGUUAGGCUAGUCAUAAAAGUAACUCAUAUAAAACAACAUUCUUUAUAUACAAAAAUAAUUAUUGAAAGAGAAUUUUCCAUUUAAAAAAGAAAAUAAAAUACUGAAGAAGAAACUUAACAAGAAAGCUAUACAAUUUAUAGAAGUAAAAUUCUGUAGGAAUCAAAAGGACAUUGGAAAAUGAAACUACUUUCAAUGGUUUUAGAUAUGUAGAUUUAACAUCAAAAAGAUUUCAAUUAUCCAUAAGUCAAUUUGUGAAUGCAAUACAGAUCUAAUAAAUGUAUCAACAGAGUUAUUUUGUUCUUCUUCUGAAAUUUUUCUAGUUGAUUUUAAGGUUUAUGUAGAAAAAUAAUUAAUCAGCACUGGCUGGAAAACCCCUAAAAAUUAAGAACAGUAAGGGAACAUCAGUUAUUUUAGAUACCAAAACAUACCAAAUAGUCUCACUUAUUAAACUUUUAUAACUUUAGCAUUACAAGAAAAUAGACAAAAUUAUGAAAAACUCUGAAAUAAACAUGAAAAUUUUAUAUGAAAGUGGUGCUCCAGUGAAUAGGAUAAUAAUAGUCUUUUGAUAAGAUUCGAUUAAAUUAUUGAGUAGUAAGUUAUUUUACCCAAAAUAGCAAAGGUUGAAACAUAAAUGUCAACUUGUGAAAACACUAGACAACAUAUAGGUAAAUACCUAUGAAGGCUUAGAGUAGGGAAAACACUGAUUAUUUACUAUUCAAAACUUAAAUAGAAAUUGGAUAAUGGGUACCAAAAUACAGUUGGAUAGGAGGAAAUAAUUCUGGUGUUUAAUAGAAUCAUAGGGUAAAUAUAAUUCAUAAAAAUUUAUUAUAUAUUUUGAAAUAGGUAAAUUAAAAGAGUCUGAAGUUUCCUAGACAUGAAAUGAUCAAUGUUUAAAGAGAUGGAAGUGCUAAUUACUCUGAUUUGAUCAUUUCACGCUACAUAGAUGUGUCAAAUUCUCAUACUCUUUCCCAUAAAUAUGCAGACAAAAAUGUCAAUUAUAAAGUAAAAAUUGAAAAAUAAAAUAUCUUGGAUCUGUAAAAUAAAAUGUUGAUAAAUUCAAAAUGUAAAAGUUGAACAAAAGAUGAAGUAUCUCCUAGGAAUUUAUAAGAAGACCAACAACUUAGUAAAAAAAGUCCAAGGGCAUAUGGUUUUAUAAUUCACAGAAAAAUUAACAAAAGAUCAUUAAAUAUUUGGAAACAUGCUUAACAUCAUUUAAAAGACAUGAAAAUGAAAUCUACAUUUUAAAUGUCAUUUAAUGUUCAUAAUAUCAGAAAAAUAUAAAAAUUUAACAAUGUAACAGAGAAAGAGAAGAGGAAACCAGUUUGAGUUAAUUUUUGGGGAGUGCAGUCUGUGUAAUUCUAGGAAAGAGAUUGUAUUAGUCAACUUUUCAUCUCUCUGACCAAAGUACCCACCUGACAAGAACAACUUAGAAGAAAAAAAUUCAUUGUUUGUUCACACUUUCAGAGUUUCAGUCCGUGGUCAGCUAACUAACUCCAUUGCUCUGGGCCGUUGAGGCAGAACAUCAAGGUAGAAGGGCAGCAGUAGGUUGGAAAGCAAAAAGAGAAAAGGGCCACAGGGAAGAAGAACCCUUCAAGGGCUCAUACCCAGUAACUUAAGUCCUCCAAUCAUUACCCAUCUGCCUAUGGUCACUACCCAGUNCAUAUAGGUAAAUACCUAUGAAGGCUUAGAGUAGGGAAAACACUGAUUAUUUACUAUUCAAAACUUAAAUAGAAAUUGGAUAAUGGGUACCAAAAUACAGUUGGAUAGGAGGAAAUAAUUCUGGUGUUUAAUAGAAUCAUAGGGUAAAUAUAAUUCAUAAAAAUUUAUUAUAUAUUUUGAAAUAGGUAAAUUAAAAGAGUCUGAAGUUUCCUAGACAUGAAAUGAUCAAUGUUUAAAGAGAUGGAAGUGCUAAUUACUCUGAUUUGAUCAUUUCACACUACAUAGAUGUGUCAAAUUCUCAUACUCUUUCCCAUAAAUAUGCAGACAAAAAUGUCAAUUAUAAAGUAAAAAUUGAAAAAUAAAAUAUCUUGGAUCUGUAAAAUAAAAUGUUGAUAAAUUCAAAAUGUAAAAGUUGAACAAAAGAUGAAGUAUCUCCUAGGAAUUUAUAAGAAGACCAACAACUUAGUAAAAAAAGUCCAAGGGCAUAUGGUUUUAUAAUUCACAGAAAAAUUAACAAAAGAUCAUUAAAUAUUUGGAAACAUGCUUAACAUCAUUUAAAAGACAUGAAAAUGAAAUCUACAUUUUAAAUGUCAUUUAAUGUUCAUAAUAUCAGAAAAAUAUAAAAAUUUAACAAUGUAACAGAGAAAGAGAAGAGGAAACCAGUUUGAGUUAAUUUUUGGGGAGUGCAGUCUGUGUAAUUCUAGGAAAGAGAUUGUAUUAGUCAACUUUUCAUCUCUCUGACCAAAGUACCCACCUGACAAGAACAACUUAGAAGAAAAAAAUUCAUUGUUUGUUCACACUUUCAGAGUUUCAGUCCGUGGUCAGCUAACUAACUCCAUUGCUCUGGGCCCUUGAGGCAGAACAUCAAGGUAGAAGGGCAGCAGUAGGUUGGAAAGCAAAAAGAGAAAAGGGCCACAGGGAAGAAGAACCCUUCAAGGGCUCAUACCCAGUAACUUAAGUCCUCCAAUCAUUACCCAUCUGCCUAUGGUCACUACCCAGUUAGUCCAUUCAAAUGAAGUUAUUUGCAGAUAUGAAGACAUAAUCAUAUAUACUGUUUAUGUCUGUAAUCUCAAAUGUAAGGAAUGACACAUGUCUAAGGUUAUGCAAUUAUAAGUUUUAGAUACAAAAGACAGAGAAAAUCCACGAGGUUCCAACAAUAAGAAAUUGGUUAAAUAAACUAUGAUGUACAGUUAAUAAUUUGAAAAAAAGAAAAUGAUUCUAUGUAUAUUUUUUUCUGAAAAGAUUUCCAGGUUAAAUGAAUAAGUUAAAAGGGAAAGUCAAAAAUAGUGUCUACACUAUGUUAAUUCCUCUAAAGGAAAGGGAAGACAAUUAAAAUCAAUGUUAUUUGUUGUUUUCCUUCUUGCUUAUUUUAUGAAACAGUGAUCCAAGACACUCAUUAAAAUGGUUACUUUAACUAAGAAUGGAAGAAAGUCGUGACUUAGACGAGAAGGAACAGGAAUUCUCAAAGAAUACUUUCAGAGUCAACAGAUUACCUAUUCAAAAAAUAAUUAAGAGAAAUAUCAAAAACUAAAGACUUAGAGAACAAGGGGAUUGAUUUAGUAUAGCAUGAAUCAUUCACAUAUAAGAUGUUUAAAGUUGACAAUGUUACGGAUACUAUUAGGUUUGGUGGUGACGCUGUUGAGGGCAAAUAACCAAAGAAGCUGCUUUUCCAGUGUUUUCUCAACUGAUUUUUUUUCCCUCUCCUUAUCAAUGUCCCUACCUGUUAAAAGGUUAAGUUCAUGCCCUGCAUUACAGUUAUACAUCUUCUGGUUGCACUUAAGUGUUUAUUCACUGACAAUAACACAAAGGAGGAAAGUUUUCAGAAAAAAAAAGUUGAUAUAAUAAUAGUCUGGAUUAUGGAUUUAAACUUGCAACCUGCAAGGACAUUGGGUGGGAAGAAAAUCAAAUUUCAUUGGAGAAGCCACAGAGGAGGCAGAGUCUUUGAUAAUGCCAAAAACAGUAGAGAGAAAGCACUGAGCAGCAGUCGAGGACACAGAGUGGGUUAGUGGUAAAUAGCAUUUUGGAGAGCAGAGUUGGUCCAGGGGAUAACAAGUAAAGGACAGUAGGAAUGGACAUGAGAGAGUAAUAUGUAAAGCUGUAGAAAGGGUAUUUUGAACUUCUGAAGAUUUUUCAAAAACCCUCCAAAGUUGAGGGUUAUUUUAGAUAAAACAAUGAUUGACGUGAAAUACGUGGACAAAGAGGAAGGCCAAUAAUUCGUGUCACAUGUUUUGGUAUCUUCCUUCCACUGGUGUGACUGUUAUUUGAUCAAGUGCUGUUACUUCAAGUAUCCUCUUAGUGGAUUCUGGUCCAUAGAGCUACAUGUAGUACACUUGGUUAUAUUAUUGGUGAGAAUGAAAAAGUUGGAAGGAUAAAAUAUUUUCAUGAAGUAAAGUAAUAUUCUAUGAGGCUAAAUAAAAACCUGUUUUUUGUUCUGACGGCAUUGAACUUCACAGUGUCCCUGCACUCCCAGAAAUAGUGAUGUUAAGAAAUUUACCAUUUUGUGUACCAGGAAGCAGCUUGCUACAAAGAAUCAUCCUUCUACACAUGACUUAGCUAGCUCUAGGGAAGGAUACCCCUGAUUAAAUGUGACAAGGACAGAUACAGAUAUUUAAAUCCCUAUUCUCUACCUAACAAAUGAACUAAUUAAUCUCACAGACUAAUGUGAAAAAAUGCUCAGUAGUGUGAUUUAACCAAAAUUUAGUUGGGAUUUACUCUUCCCUCUGAAGUUUAACUUGCUUCUCAGGUUAAAGAACCUCUGAAACAUGAAACAACUCAUCCUUUAUGGAUCUUCCUGAUAAUCAGGAACACAAACUCUGAUUUUACCUGCUCCUCCCACUCUCCAACACCUACCUUUUUCUAGUCUUACUUGCUCAUUCUUAUAAAAAGAAAGUCACUUCUGCCCCUUUAAAACACUUGCACAUCUUCUUAUUAGAGUUUCCUCCCUAAUGUUAUAAUCCCCCUGAAUUAAGCCUUUUCUUACUAAUGUUUAGACUCACAUUUUUUUUUAUUAUUUCUAUCUUUUAUUUUUUAAAUUUUAUAAUUUGUAUUUUUUCUUGCAUAUUAACAUUUUUGGUGCUGCUUGCUCAACUGAUGGAAAUUUCAAUGGCUUAGAGAUAUAAGAAUGUGGGAGAUGUAAAUUUGAGAUCCAUUUGUCUCUUUAGCGGUGACUUGAGGUAAGGAAUUAAGUAAGAAUUUUUAGAAGAGCUAACAAAGAGAGAGGAAUAGAGAAUUUGUGUUGGAACCUUUAGGCAUGGUAGCAAGUUUAGAAAAAUCAAGAAACUAUAGCAAAGGGUAAGAAAUAAAAUAAACAUUUAUUUCUUUUCAUUUUUAGUCUACUGAUGAACUACAGAAAUAAGGACAUUUAACAUAAAAUAGCCUUUAAGACACAACAUUGGAAAUUAUGAGACUUGGGGUCUCCUCCUACUUUGACAAUUAUCGUCUCUUUGACCAUAAACAUAGUUUACUUUGCUUACCUUUAUAUCUGCAAGGUAACAUCUCUCUAAAAAUCUAUGAAUUGCAAAUAUCAAUGUUCUGCCUUUUUUCAGCAUAAUUUAAUGAAUUUGUCAAAAAUAAAAUGGCUAAGAGCUCUCUUGAAUCCUGUAAAAAUGGAAGACACAGUAUUACUGAAAUAAGUCAUCAAAGAAUAGUUCAGAGGAAAACUAUUCUAAGGAUAUUUGUGUUCAAAUCAUAAUGCAAGUAAAAGCACAAAGGAACUACUAUCAGUGAUGAAAAAAGCAAAUAUAUUGUCAGCUAAAACUUAGGCAAAGAAACCAAUAAAUAAUUCAAAAGACAUAUUUCUUUAAAGAGUGAUUUUGAAAGAAUUAUUUUGAUCCAUUAUUUCAAUGUGUGACACUAAUGUUCAAGGUGAGUAUUUGGAGACACAUGGAAAAGAUGCAACCAAGAAGAUGGACUAUUACCUGUUUCGGUUCAGUGAUUUAAAUUAUUUCAUAAACUGCUAUGUAUAAUAUAUGAAUUAGUUUUAAAUGCACUUAAAGGUGUUUCUUACUGUGCAGAUUAAAGAUUUCUUAUAAAAAGCUGUUUUAUCAGGGAGUACAUCUAAAGUCUGUAGUGAACUAUUUAAUACAUACCGAAAUGUUUAAACUAAGAAUUUUACUUAAAAGCUGAGGUGUGUUAACUUUGUUAAUUCUUUAAGUGAUGAACUAUCCUGUGUAUAUGGAGGGUUUAUACAUAUUGUUGAGCAAGUUUUUUACUGUUGGGUUGAAAAACUUAUUUUUAUCUGUUAUUCAAAUGAUCAAAUUAAAAUUUACCAAUUUAACAUGUAUCUACAAACAACUCACUACAGAUUUUAGAUCCAUUCACUGAUAAACAAUUUUCCACUAGGUCUUUAACUAGCAAAACUUUUUUUAAAAAAUUCAAAAGAAAACACAUUUUCUAUCUUCUCUUUGGACAGAUGAUUAAUUUCCAGAAUAUAUAAAGAACUAAAGAAAAAGAUCAAUAUUAACAAACAAUCCAAUUAAUAAGUGGGCAGGGAGGAGACACUUCUCAAAAUUAGAAAUAAAAAUGACUACAUCUUCAGUCUUCACGGAAAUGCAAAUCAAAAUUACACUGAGAUUCCAUCUCCCUUGAGUUAGAAUAGCAAUUAUAAAGAAUAAAAAUAACAAUAAAUUCAGCAAGGAUGCCUGGAGGGAAAAGGAGUACACACUGUUGGUGGGAAUGUAAAUUAUUACAACUUCAAUGGAAAUCAGUUCAAACUUUCCUUAAAAAUCUAAAAAUAGACCCACUAUAUGCUCCAGUGAAAGAACUAACAGCAUGCUUUAGAGAUACUUGCAUCCCCUUAUUUAUCACAGCAAAACUCAUAACAGCCAAAUUAUAAAAUCAGCAAAGGUGUCUGUAAACAGAUAAAUGGAUAAAGAAAAGAGGAUAUAUAUUCAAAAUGGAGUUUUACUCAGCCAUUAAAAAAAGAACAAAAUGAUUUCUUGCUGAAACAUACAUGGAAUUGGACACCACAAAUUUUAAUAAAGUAAAGUUGGAUCAAGAGAAGAAGGUAUCAUAUGGAGACUGGAGCAGGGAUAUAAAAGAGUUUCUAUGACAGUAAAAUGGAGACAAUUAGGGUACAGUGAAUGAAUGAAGGGAGGGAAGAUGGGGCACUGGGGGUGAAAUUAAUCAAACUGUUUAUCUUUAUAUAUAAACAUGCUACAAUGAAACCCACCAUUUUGUAUAAUUGAGACAAAACAAGUAAAACAAAAAUAGAUAAAUAAAUAAACUUGCUUUUUAGGCAUUAGAAGGUAAUAAAUUAUAUUUAGUGAUUGAC
rnacentral:lncRNA from 1 species